UACGGGGGGAGCAAGCGUUGUUCGGAUUUACUGGGCGUAAAGGGCGCGUAGGCGGCCAGCGCAAGUCAGUUGUGAAAUCUCCGGGCUUAACUCGGAAAGGUCAACUGAUACUGUGCGACUAGAGUGCAGAAGGGGCAACUGGAAUUCUCGGUGUAGCGGUGAAAUGCGUAGAUAUCGAGAGGAACACCUGCGGCGAAGGCGGGUUGCUGGGCUGACACUGACGCUGAUGCGCGAAAGCGUGGGGAGCAAACGGG
rnacentral:rRNA from 1 species